AGAGAGAGAGGGGGGGAAGGAAGGAAGGAAGGAGAGAGACCAGAGAGCACAAGCAGCUGGGUUUAAAGAACAGUCAAGUCCAAAUAAAUGGGCUACUCGACUGCAGUGAUUGUUAGAGGGGGCGAAUGUGUGGGUCGUAACGAUUGCUUGGAUGAACACAGACCUGAGCAGAAAGUCUAAAUCGGAGACAGAGAGGAGCGAGAGAGACACACAGAGUGAGACAGAGUGUGCACGCAGGGAUUUUAGAGCGAAUUACAUCCGAGUUAGAGAAUAAAUCAGAUUUGCUGCAAAACAGCACAGCUCUGGCUGUUUCUUCUGCUGUCCUGGAGGGAAGAUGUGAUAAAUCGAGAGAUAGUGGUUAGUUGAUGGAAAAUGUGGGUUUCCAAAGCCCAUGGAUGAAGGAGUGAAGACGGAGGGAUUAUUACCCACGGAAAGCGAUCCACCAAUCGACCACCACCAAGUUCCUACUUACUGCUGAGUAAACAGAAGUGUGUGGAGUAAGGAAACUUGCCCAAGGUUUCGUGUUGCCUAGGAAUCGAACCCAUGUCCUUUCGUUUGCAAGGGUGUUAGCGAUGGAAAUCCCUGAGGUUGUUACAAAUGGAGAUCGCGUGUGCAAGCAGCCAAAUCUCAUCCCAAACCUCAUCUUCAACAGAAUUAUCCAAACCUUUCUUCCACAUCGUUCAACAGCAGAGCAGUUAUCUGUGGCCAUGGGUGUAACUAGACCUUAUCCCUUGGAGGCUAAUUCUACUGCGGGUUCAUUUUUGUGACUACGAAACUGUGCAGGAGAAAGAGCGGUGUUAAAACAGUCAAGCAUUCCGGAGGCACAACUGGAAAUAAUAUGAAAUACUGUACAAUAAAUGAGAAAAAGGGGCUAUUUUGAUCCGUUAAGCACCAUGAAAAGAGAGGAGAUCUUCCGUUGUGCUGUCUCAGAGCAGUUCCGUCCAACUUCAAGUUCACAGUUAAAAGGAGAAUGCUCUCAAAUGUGGGGAAAUAUUAGACCCAGUUGCUAAUUUAUUGAUCAUUUUAUCCUCUUCCUUUCUUUACAAGGUUGUUUUUUGGCACGUGCAUCAUGAAAAAUGAUCCACAUUUUAUUUCAACCCCCUGAAUUCAGAGUUUAAUGGGUUUCUUGCAAUAAUCUAGGAAUAAUUUAACUGCGUUGCAUUUAAAAAAAACAAUUUCAGUUCGUGAUAAAUGGCUAAUAAUACCUCCGAAAAUGUUGUGCUUUUACCUUUUCCCAUUUUUGUUCUGUAAGUUUGUUUCCCUGAAUCAACUUCUUGUGGGCAAAACCACUACUGGGGAGAAAUUCCAGUUGAGUCUCGCUUUACGUAUUAUUUUAGAGGGCUCCAAAUUUGGCAGAUUGUUAAAUUCAGUCUUAACUCUGACGUCAUUGCUUAGGUGGAUCUUCUGAAAAGAAACUUACAGAAAAAGGAUUUCAAAAUCAAGGCAGUAUUUAAACAUGUGACAAAGUCUAGAUGGUGUUAAAUGCUCCGUAAAUACUGUACAGCUGAAUAAAUUCUUCCUGUCUUCAUAUUAUUGCGUGGACAGAUCCACAAUCAAGCUCAAGCCUUUCCUCAGAGGUCCCUUGCACUCUGGAAUGCCACCCCACGUGAAGGGUGCUACAUAAAUGCAAGAGGUUGUUGUCGAGACCAGCCAUUUUGUGAUUGAAGAGCAAGUAAUUGUGAGAGAUUCUGAUGGGAAUAAUCACGUGCAUCAUGUUAUUAUAAUUUCCUCAGUUAUAGGAACAGCAGAGGUCUGAAAUUAUAUCUUGGCUCAGUGUGUAAGACCAUUUUGUGUUAAAAUGUAAGAUUGUGCAGAAUAACAACAAAUUCUCAAAUCCGCUUUUUAUUCAGAAGCUUUUCGCUUUUUUAAGAUCUGUGGAAAAUCGGCUUUGAAAUUCAGAUUGAAUUUUUUUUAACGCAAGAGUUGGCACAAGCACAGUGGGCCAAAUGGCCUCCUUCUAUAGUGUAUUAUUCUAUGAAUUAGGGUGGGUGGGGUGGGGGGGGGCGGCAAAAUUCUUUAUAAGUGCUGUGUACUGGAUACUGCUACCAAAGUUACUCACAAUAAAUGUUAAUUUGAGUUGCUUUA